AGGACCCUGUCCUCCUAUUUUCAGUUGGUUUUGGCAGCGCGAGGACUAGGGUAAUGAUUAAUAGGGAUAGUUGGGGGCAUUAAUAUUUAAUUGUCAGAGGUGAAAUUCUUGGAUUUAUGAAAGAUUAACUUCUGCGAAAGCAUCUGCCAAGGAUGUUUUCAUUAAUCAAGAACGAAAGUUAGGGGAUCGAAGACGAUCAGAUACCGUCGUAGUCUUAACCAUAAACGAUGCCGACCAGCGAUUAGGAGACGUUGAAUACAAAACACCACCAUCGGUGCGGUCGUCCUUGGCGCGUUGGUCUUCAAAAGCCAGCGCGCGGGGGCGGCUUAGCCCGGUGGCACCGGUGAAUGACUCCCUAGCG
rnacentral:rRNA from 1 species